UUUUUAUUAGUAUAAUAGUAUAUUUGUUUUCCAAACAAAAGGUUUAAUCAGAUAUUAAAUAAAAAA
rnacentral:tRNA from 1 species